GUGAUAUUAGUUUAAUAUAAAAUAGUGGUUUGUCUAGCCAUUGAUGACUUUGUGUUAGUUAUGUCACU
rnacentral:tRNA from 1 species